GGGGUACUCGAGCGGCGAACGGGUGAGUAACACGUGAGCAACCUGCCCCUGACUCUGGGAUAAGCCUGGGAAACCGGGUCUAAUACCGGAUACGACCACUGNCCGCAUGGUGGGUGGUGGAAAGUUUUUCGGUUGGGGAUGGGCUCGCGGCCUAUCAGCUUGUUGGUGGGGUGAUGGCCUACCAAGGCGACGACGGGUAACCGGCCUGAGAGGGCGACCGGUCACACUGGGACUGAGACACGGCCCAGACUCCUACGGGAGGCAGCAGUGGGGAAUCUUGCGCAAUGGGCGGAAGCCUGACGCAGCGACGCCGCGUGAGGGAUGACGGCCUUCGGGUUGUAAACCUCUUUCAGCAGGGACGAAGCUAACGUGACGGUACCUGCAGAAGAAGCGCCGGCUAACUACGUGCCAGCAGCCGCGGUAAUACGUAGGGCGCAAGCGUUGUCCGGAAUUAUUGGGCGUAAAGAGCUCGUAGGCGGCUUGUCGCGUCGGGUGUGAAAGCCCACGGCUCAACCGUGGGUCUGCACUCGAUACGGGCAGGCUAGAGGCAGCUAGGGGAGCAUGGAAUUCCCGGUGUAGCGGUGAAAUGCGCAGAUAUCGGGAGGAACACCGGUGGCGAAGGCGGUGCUCUGGGGCUGUUCUGACGCUGAGGAGCGAAAGCGUGGGGAGCGAACAGGAUUAGAUACCCUGGUAGUCCACGCCGUAAACGUUGGGCGCUAGGUGUGGGGUCCUUCCACGGGUUCCGCGCCGUAGCUAACGCAUUAAGCGCCCCGC
rnacentral:rRNA from 1 species